CUCGUGCGUGCGCACGCGCGCUGUCCCCCGGAGGCGUCUGGGUGUGCGGAGCGCGCGCGCGCGGCUCGGAGGCGCACCUGUGAGGUGUCCCUUGAGGAGAGGGAGGGUGGGUGCGCGGAGUCCGCGGCCUGGGGCGCUUCAACCCCUCACUUGGAAGCGCCUCGCGUCCCAGCUGAGCCAGCCGAGCAUCCUACUCAGGUGAUGAGGAACCCCCCGGGCACCCAGCGCAGAUCGCUGCUGCCGCUGGACGCCUCCAUUGUUUGACCAUAACAAGGGCCGGAUUCUCACCCAGACCUGCAAAUCCAAGAGACACAUCUCUGUGGAAGAUAGAGCUCCUUCCUCAAGAUCACAGAAGGAGACCGCCGGAGCGACAGCUGUGCAGGGAGGCCUCACGAGGAAGGACUGACAUACCGGGACCCGAGGUGCUUGCUUCCUGGGAGGCUCCUGUCUGAUGCGAAGGAGACAGGAUGUCAUAGUGACUCUGCAAGGGGAGGCUCCUGGGGACCGAGGCCAGCACGCAGGAUCACGCCCUCGGCCACAGGGGACACUGGGCAGGCCUUUCCCUGCAAGUGAGACGAACGAGAUUAUUCUGCAAGAGGAAGAUUCCAGGGGCUUAAAAGCACAAAGGUUUGCAUCUUGGCAGCCUCUUGGAAUGUUGACAGCUCAGGAUCUAAAAGAAAGUGCUGUGUUAACGAAUUCCAGAGUUGAUGUGGAUGUGCAUGUCACUUUAUAAUCAAUAAUAAUACUGAGUGAGGAACACUAUGCAGGAAGAAGCCUUCCAUGGAAAGACAGGCAGGGAAAAGCUUAGGCCGACCUCAGAUCUCCUGCAUAGAGCCAGCUUGAGAUAAAUGCCAACAUGGCCAAAUGAGAGACUCUGAGACAACCGCCUGUAACUGUAGUCAUUGUAAGGAAAUCUCUAAAUCACGAUACCAAAUAGGAACCAUGAUCUACAAGUGCCCCAUGUGCAGGGAGUUUUUCUCUGAGAGAGCAGAUCUUUUUAUGCAUCAGAAAAUUCACACUGCUGAGAAGCCCCAUAAAUGUGACAAGUGUGACAAGGGUUUCUUUCAUAUAUCAGAACUUCAUAUUCAUUGGCGAGACCACACAGGAGAGAAGGUCUAUAAAUGUGACGAUUGUGGUAAGGAUUUUAGUACUACAACCAAACUUAACAGACAUAAGAAAAUCCACACAGUGGAGAAGCCCUAUAAGUGUUACGAGUGUGGCAAAGCCUUCAAUUGGAGCUCACACCUGCAGAUUCACAUGAGAGUUCAUACAGGUGAGAAACCCUAUGUAUGUAGUGAGUGUGGAAGGGGCUUUAGCAAUAGUUCAAACCUCUGCAUGCAUCAGAGAGUGCACACCGGAGAGAAGCCCUUUAAAUGUGAAGAGUGUGGGAAGGCCUUCAGGCACACUUCCAGCCUCUGCAUGCAUCAGAGAGUCCACACAGGAGAGAAGCCCUAUAAAUGCUAUGAGUGUGGGAAGGCCUUCAGCCAGAGCUCCAGCCUCUGCAUACAUCAGAGAGUGCACACAGGGGAGAAGCCCUAUAGGUGCUGUGGGUGUGGGAAGGCCUUCAGCCAGAGCUCCAGCCUCUGCAUCCAUCAGAGAGUGCACACAGGGGAGAAACCUUUCAAGUGCGAUGAGUGUGGGAAGGCCUUCAGUCAGAGCACCAGCCUCUGCAUCCACCAGAGAGUGCACACAAAGGAGAGAAACCAUCUCAAAAUAUCAGUUAUAUAAAGCAUUUUCCUAAGAGUUAAAAAAAAAUUCUUAAAACCCGUAAGUGCCACUAGGAAGGAAAAACCCUGUAAAUACCUACAUUGAUCCAAGAAGUUUUUACAGCAGGACCCAGCAGAACAUUGUUUUCCAGGAGGCAUGCAUGAGGGUGAGUUUUUGGAUUCAUGCCAAGUGUGUUGCACAACUUGUGAAUCUGGAACUCCUGUGAGUGUGUGCCCAGGGCAGGCUGUAAGGUCCCAGUCGUGGGUGUACAUUUCCUGGGAUUCUGGUGGAACAACUACACAGGAAACCAUGGUCGUUGCGCAGCCUCCCAAGUCACCUUCUGUCUACACUUUACCUAAAAGUUACCCCAGAUACUGCCCCAUUUCAGGAACUCACCACCUUCCUUCUCUUGAUCCCAGCAUACCAGUGAAUGCAUUUGAAAACGGCCAGCUUCCACCAAGUAGUGUUCUGGUACUUCAGAGGUUACCACUUGGUUUAGCCUCUCCAUAUCUGUCCAUGUAUCCCAUUACUUCUGCACUCACUUUACCCGUGUAUCCUCCAAAUGCCCAUAAAUAUCCACCCCUUCCUAGAUGGCAUCAAAUUUCAUUUUAGGUUUUAGGUGACUCAUGAUGGCCACUUACUUUGCCUAUCAGAGAAAAUCAUUGGCAAGCAUACACGCCCUUGAACUUUAAUUUUGUGAAUUCUGCUAAUCACUGUGUCACUAUGUUAGACUUAAUUUUCUAGUGGCUACAUCACAUAUUUUUAACUUGAAUAUUUUUUGUUUUUUUGCGGGGGGAAAUAGCUGAAUGUAAAUAGGGAGGAGGAAGUGAGCGGAGUUAGGACUUUUCUCCAUCCAGAACUGCCCUCUGGGGCUCCUUUAGUAACAGGCGGAGCCACUUUCCCGUAGGAGAAGUGGAUGGUAGGAGGCGUCCCUAAUAAUAGUUUCUGUUAAUGUAAUUUUGGGCAAUAAUGUGUAGGAUUACAUAUCCGUUCCUUUGUAGGCAGGAAUGUCUCUGUUAACCUCUCCUUUUCUUUCUUCAUUCAUUGGACAAGUAUUUAUUGAACACCUCCUAUGUGCCAGGCACUGUGCCCCUUGCCGGGGAUACCACUGAGUAAGACAGACAAGGGCCCUACUCUCGUGGAGUUGACUUCUGGUGGAGGAGACAGAUGAUAAGCAAGUAAACAAAUAACGUAGUGUGAGAUAGUGAUUAAGUGCUAUGGAGAAAAUAACCUAGGGUGAUGAUUUAGAGCGGUGGGGGGUGGGGGUGGGGGGCGGCGGUAGAUAGCGGUCAGGGAGGCCUCUGUGCGGGCAAGGGCGGCGCGGGGGCUGCUGUGGAGCGCAGGGGCCCAGCUUUCGCUGGUGGGGCGGCCCUGUGCGCAGUGGGCGGAGCAGAAGGCGCGGCCCAGCGGUGAGUGUAGUGAGCAGCAGGGCGGGGGAGAUGCUGAAAGCUCAGUAUCGUGACGUUUAUAUAGGCCCCCUUUUUUUUUUUUUGGCUAGAUUGAUAUUAAAAACUCAUGUGGAGGAACUCCAGGAAUGUUUAGAAGACCAAAAGUCCCCAAUGACAACAAAAAGCAACUAAUUUUGAACUUCGUUUCUCUCUUAUUCCUGUUUUUGUUGAUUUCCCACAUGUAGUCCUUUUUGCUCAGGAAGUCUUUGGGGGGAAUUAAGGCUUUUUGAAAGCUCUGAACUGGGUGAUCAGGUUAGCAGUGUCUGUCCACUGUCUUGAGAGGUUGGAAAAUGAACUAUCCGAAAUAGUCACCGAAAUAUGAAACAAAGCUUGAUUUUCUCUUCAUAUUUGAAUUAAUUUCUUCUAUUUGACUGGAAGGGGUUUUUGUAUAACUAAAACCUCAGCGCAUAAAGGAGAUUUAAAAGGGGCACUUAACUGAGUGGGUGAAAGUAGAAGAUGGGAUUUUGGUGGGGGGGGGGGUACAUGUGUUACCACCUGAAUUUUCAUCUGGAUAGUUAAUAAGGCUUUGGGAAGUCACUUCACGUAAUUUUCCUCCUUUUUGCAAAGAGAGGGCUGGCUUAGUUAUUUGAUAAAGCCCCUUCCAGGCCUGAAUUCCUCGACUACGAUUUACGGUAGUGUCUUAACACACUCUCAUGUCACAGUAGUGCGGAGCAUUAGAGAAAAGCCUAGACUUUUAGUUGAUAGCGAGCCAGUUCAAAUAUCAUUGAUAGAAUUUUAGUUUUAGGAAAAAUUGGUUUGAUUUCUAGCUUUAUUACUAUUAGGUAUGUGAGCUUGGGCAAAAUCGCUUAAUCUUUGAGUCUAGUUUUCUCACGUACAGAAUGAGGACAUUAGGCUAAAUGAUUUCCGAGUUUCCAGCUAGUCCUAGAGUUCUAUAUUUCUACAUAGUUGAAUUAUUUUAUCAUGCUGUUGCUGGGGAAUAUGACUAACACUUUUGAAGCUACUAAUUUUAUGUCGAGCUUUAAAGUCCAUAAUUGUUAUCUUCGGAAAAUAUUAUUUGACCUACAGUAUGUCCAAAUCAAUUUAAUAAAAUCACUUUAUAACAGGG